GGCAUAUACCUGGCCCGUCUUGUAACACGGAUCAAGGAGUCUAACAUGUGCACAAGUUUUCGGGUGUCAAACCCGUGUGCGUAAUGAAGGUAAAAGCUGCGACCCUGGUCAGCAGCGGCCGACCACAACACUCGUUGAGGUUUGAGUUUGAGUGUGUAUGUUAGGACCCGAAAGAUGGUGAACUAUGCCUGGGCAGGAUGAAGCCAGGGGAAACUCUGGUGGAAGUCCGUCGCAAUACUGACGUGCAAAUCGUUUGUUAGACCAUGGGUAUAGGGGCGAAAGACUAAUCGAACCAUCUAGUAGCUGGUUCCCUCCGAAGUUUCCCUCAGGAUAGCUGGAGACGUUGAGUUUUAUCAUGUAAAGCGAAUGAUUAGAGGCUUUGGGGAUGCGACAUCCUCGACCUAUUCUCAAACUUUAAAUGGGUAAGACUUCCCCUUACUUCAGUGAAGGGGAAGAGUGAAUCUUGUCUCCAAGUGGGCCAUUUUUGGUAAGCAGAACUGGCGAUGAGGAGUGAACCUAACGUUGAGUUAAGGCGCCUCAAUACUCGCUCAUGAGAUACCGCAAAAGGUGUUGGUUCAUUUUGACAGCAGGACGGUGGUCAUGGAGGUUGAAACCCGCUAAGGAGUGUGUAACAACUCACCUGCCGAAUGAACCAGCCCUGAAAAUGGAUGGCGCUGAAGCGAGUUGCCGAUACUCAGCCAGCAUGGUGACACCCGUGCUGUGUAGGAGGGCGUACCGGUCGUGAUGCAGUCUUUGCGUGAGCAAGGAUGAAACGGCCGGUAGUGCAGAUCUUGGUGGAAGUAGCAAAUAUUCAAAUGAGAAUUUUGAAGGUUGACGUGGAGAAGGGUUCCAUGUGAACAGCACUUGCACAUGGGUUAGUCGGUCCUAAGAGAUUGGCACCAGCUAUGUAUGCAGCUUUGCUGCUUUCUCGACAGGGAAGCAGGUUAACAUUCCUGCACCAGGGCGUGGAUACUGCAUGGUAACAGAAGCGAACUCCACGACGUCGGCACGUGUCCCGGAAAGCGUUGUCUUUUCUUCUUAACAGUCAAUGGCCUUGGAAACGGAUUAUCCGGAGAUAGGGCUUGACGGCUGGCAAAGCACCUCGUUAUCCGAGGUGUUCGGUGCACACGUAUCGAUCCUUGAAAAGUGGAGGGACACUGUGAUUCUCACCCCUGACCGUACCCAUAACCGCAUCAGGUCUCCAAGGUUAGCAGCCUCUGAUCAAUAGAAGAAGGUAGGUAAGGGAAGUCGGCAAAAUCGAUCCGUAACUUCGGGAAAAGGAUUGGCUCUGAGGACCGGGUAGUGAGAUCCUUUACUUAACGUAUCAGCU
rnacentral:rRNA from 11 species